rnacentral:miRNA from 1 species
AGAGUUUGUCGGCAUGGUGACU